GCGUCGGUGGUGCAACGGUCCAGCACACGUUUCCGGGAAGGGUGAGAUCUGGGUGCGAAUCCCGGCUGACGCA